AGUGAACGCUGGCGGUAGGCCUAACACAUGCAAGUCGAACGGCAGCACAGUAAGAGCUUGCUCUUACGGGUGGCGAGUGGCGGACGGGUGAGGAAUACAUCGGAAUCUACUUUUUCGUGGGGGAUAACGUAGGGAAACUUACGCUAAUACCGCAUACGACCUACGGGUGAAAGCAGGGGAUCUUCGGACCUUGCGCGAUUGAAUGAGCCGAUGUCGGAUUAGCUAGUUGGCGGGGUAAAGGCCCACCAAGGCGACGAUCCGUAGCUGGUCUGAGAGGAUGAUCAGCCACACUGGAACUGAGACACGGUCCAGACUCCUACGGGAGGCAGCAGUGGGGAAUAUUGGACAAUGGGCGCAAGCCUGAUCCAGCCAUGCCGCGUGGGUGAAGAAGGCCUUCGGGUUGUAAAGCCCUUUUGUUGGGAAAGAAAAGCAGCAGGUUAAUACCCCGCUGUUCUGACGGUACCCAAAGAAUAAGCACCGGCUAACUUCG
rnacentral:rRNA from 1 species